UUAGGGGAAGACCUAAAGGGGUUCCCCUUUAGGGGAAGAACUAAAGGGUUGUCUUCUUUAGGGUUGUCCCCUUGAGUUCGUCUUCUUUAGGGGAACCAAAAGGGAAGAACCAAAGUCUUCCCCUAAAGGGGAACCCUUCUUCCCCGUUAGUGUUCUUCCCCUAAAGGGAACCCCUUUAGUUCGUCCCCUUUAGGGGAACCAAAGGGGUGUUCUUCCCCUUUAGGGGAACCCCUAAAGGGGAAGAACUCCCCUACGGUUCCCCUUUAGGGGAUGAAGAAGGGGGUUCGUCCCCUUUAGGGGAACCAAAGGGGAAGACGAAGGGGUGUUCCCCUUCGGGGAUACGAAGGGGAAGAACUAAAGGGGAAGAAGAACACUAAAGUUCCCCUUUAGGGGAAGAACUUUAGGGGAUGAACUUUAGGGGAACCCAAGGGGGGGGCACCAAACUUGUUCCCCAUCCCCUAAAGGAGAACAAAGGGGACAGAAAACCAAAGGUUGUACCUUUGUUCAUCCCCUAAAGGGGAACUAAAGGGGAUGGAAACCUUUGGGGAACCUUUGGUUGUCUUCUUUGGGCUCGUCAAGUUUGGUUGUCCCCUUUGGUUCCCCUUCGGGGACUUAGACCAAACUUGACGAGCCCAAAGAAGACAACCAAAGGGGGACGCGGUCACCCUAGGAUAUAACCGAAGGGGUUCCCCUAAAGGGGAAGACAAGGAAAGCGUUACUCUAUUUCCUAUAGUUCUAACCUAGUUAAAUACCAUCGUUCAACAUUUCAUGCUCUCCACCAAGCUAGACACGCUAAUAUUUGAAUGAGUGCAAAGCGGGGAUAUAAACUACAAGUAGUAGCUUAACGAAGCCCACUGUGAAUUUCUCGAACAAAGCAAUGUUGUAACGUAGUCUAAACUACAAUAGUCAUGUCGUAGCCAUUCCCCGAAGGGGACGACGUUAGCGUUACUAAUUAACGCUAGGGCUCAAGGGCGAAGACCCUUCCCCUCGUUUGCUUCCUUACCUUCCCCCUUCGGUUCCCCUUUAGGGGAGCCCAAAGGGGAUGCUUCCCCCCCUUCGGCAUCAUCCCCUAAAGGGGAACUAAAGUUCUUCCCCUAAAGGGGAUGAACUAAAGGGGAAGACGACAUCCCCGAAGGGGGAACAUCAUCCCCUAAAGGGGAACCAAAGUCAUCCCCGAAGGGGAAGAGCACUAAAGGGGAACUAAAGUUCCCCUUUAGUUUAUCCCCUAAAGGGGAACUAAAGUUCCCCUUUAGGGGAAGAAGAAGAAGAAGAAGAACAAGAAGGGGAAAUCAUCCCCCUCUGGUUCUUCCCCUAAUGGGGAACUUUAGGGGAAGAACCAAAGGUGCCCCAAAGGGGAUGACUUCUUUCNNN
rnacentral:lncRNA from 1 species